AGGGUUUUGCACUUAAGGGCGGUGGCUGCUGUCAGAGUCUGUUCCUUGAGGAGGCACCUGCUCUUCCGCUCUUCUCCCGCUUUCCAUGAGGUGUGAGUAGUAGCUUGGGUGUCCCCUCAAUCUUACACGAUAGAAACCAAGAAAGCACCUUGAGGCGGGAGUCCCGUCAGGAGGCUCAGUGGGGUCCCGCACACUCCACGGUCCCCGCCUCCGGGAAGGCCGCGCGUGGCGUGGGCAGAGAGCGGAAUCCUGGCUCUACUGCCCACCUGCCGGUUGACUUUAGGCGAUGCCAACCCCAGGCUGGUGAGGAGUCCAUGAAAUAUAAGGCACGGGAGCCACCCGGCGCGUCGUUAAGCAGCGUGAGGGACUGAAAGAUGAGUCUGAGCCAAUCUCUUAGCUUCUGGUCUCGCAGAGAGGCGAGAGGUAAGAUCCUGUACAAAAAAGCGUGGCUGGCCGUGCGCGUGGCUGGCGCCUGGAAUCCUAGCGCUUUGGGAGGCCGAGGCGAGGGAUUCCAGUAGUUGGAGACCAGCCCGUGCAAUAUACGAGACCCCAUCUCUCCAAAAAAUACAAAGAUUAGCCGGCGUGGUGGUGCGCGCCAGUAGUACCAGCUACUUGGGAGGUGGAGGAUGGAGGAUCUUGAGCCCAGGAAUUGGAGGCUCAGUGAGUUCUGAUCCGCGUCACUGCACUCCAGCAUAGGCAGUAGAGCGAGACCUUGUCGCUAAACAAAGAAGCAAGUAAGAGCGGAGGCUGGGUAACUGACAAAUCGAAUAUCUUACAACAGGGGAGUCCAAUCUUUUGGCUUCCAUGAGCCACAGUGGAAGAAGAAUUGUCUGGGCCCACAUAUAAAAUACAUUAACACUAAUGAUAGCUGAUAAGCUUAAAAAAAAUCUUUAAAAAAAUCUCAUAAUGCUUUAAGAAAGUUUACGAAAUUGUGUUGGGCUGUAUUCAAAACCUGGCCUCCAGGGCCGCACGCGGCCCUUGGGUAGGACAGGCUUGCUUUGUAAUGUCUUCCUCCCACUCCACGCACCUCCCCAGAGGUACCCUUACCAGUGCCUCCUGGAACCUUCCAGAUAUGUUCUAGGUAUGUUUAGGAGAUACUUCUCCUUUCUCUUUUUGGAUGGGUUUAAUUUCUUUUUUCCUUUUUUUUUUUUUGUGUGUGUGUGUAACAGUCUCGCUCUGUCGCCCAGGCUGGAGUGCAGUGAUCUCGUCUCACUGCAAUCUCCCCAUUUUCAGUUCAAGCAGUUCUCUUGUCUCAGCCUCCCGAGUAGCUGGAACUAUAGGCGCACGCCACCACGCCCGGCUACCUUUUUUUUUUUUGAGACGGAGUUUCACUCUUGUUGCCUAGGCUGGAGUGCAAUGGCGAGAUCUCAGCCCACCGCAACCUCCGCCUCCCGGUUCAAGCUAUUCUCUCCUGCCUCACCCUCCCCAGUAACUAAGAUUACAGGCAUGCGCCAUCACGCCUGGCUAAUUUUGUAUUUUUAGUAGAGAGGGCGUUUGUCCAUGUUGGCCAGGCUGGUCUCGAACUCCUGACCUCAGGUGAUCUACUCGCCUUGGCCUCCCAAAGUGCUGGGAUGACAGGAGUGAGCCACUGUGCCCGGCCAUUUUUUUUUUUUUUUUUAAAGAAACGGAGACUGGCUCUGUCACUCAGGCUGGAGUGUAGUGGCGUGACUAUAGCUUAACUGCAGUUUGGAACUCCUGGGUUCAAGAGAUCCUCCGGCUUCAGCUUCCCGAGUAGGUAGGACUAAAGGUUCUGGUCACCAUGUCCUGAUAUCUUUUACAGUUUUUUUUGUAGAGAUGAGGACAGGGAGGAGUCUCACCAUGUUGCCCAGGCUGGUCUCCAACUCCUGGCUUCAAAGGAUCCUCCCACCUCAGCCUCCCAAAGUGCUGGGGUUGCAUGCAUGAACCACUGAACCUGGCCAAACUUACUUAUUAGAAAAACACAUAUAGUAGCCUGGUAUACCCAUUGUUCCACACCUUGCUUUUUCUUCUUAACGUACCUUGGAGAUUGUUCCAAGUCAGUACACAAAGCUCUGCCUCAUCUUUUUAAACGGCUCUAUGGCAUCCCACCAUGCAGCAACACUACAGUUUAUAUAGGAACUUUUUUAGGCGCCUUCAGGAUGGUUUCAGACUUUUUACAACUAGUCAUGUAAAGUUUUAAGAGAUGGAGGAAUGAGAGUAAGAGGCUUUCCCUCAGUUGCUUUCAGGAGGUGUUCCUUCCGUGAAAGGAUAUUCUGCUAAUCUCUAAUAAUAGCCUUGUGUUUAAUCAACGUAUAGAAGAAAUGUUCUGAAAUCAUUGGCACCUGCUUCCCUUUGUGUAUUCUAGAAUCUAGUGUAAGAGUGGUUUCCUUUUAGCACAGUGUAAUGAAUUGUUACACUGGGCUUUGUGGAUCCGUGUUUUGUAGUAGUAUUAAGAGUAUGGAGACUGUCAGAUGUUCUUUCACCUGAACUUAAGUUUGAGAACCAUGCUUGUAGGCCAAGGAAACAGUGUGAAUGCCGGUGAACGAGUAUGGAAGUGUUUGGAAGCAGUAUGUAGCUAGAGCAGGAAUGUGCAGAGGGGAGGAAUGGGAGAUGCAGGUUGGAAAGUAGGUAAAGGAAUGAAUUCAUUAUCAAGCUGAGGGUUUAUACUCAUUUUGGAGAAAUUGUAAAGAUAAGAGGUUUUUGAACUGGCAGUAGAGAAGAAAAGGUAGUGAUGAUUUAUGCAUUAGGUAAGUUAAUAAUGUGGUUGUGAUAUUGUGGUUUUAAAGAUGUGUCCUAUCUACUCAUUCUUUGAUAACUGUCCUUUCAGUUAAUGAGGCUUCGUUUCCCUCCCCUUGAGUGUAGACUGGACUUAGUGGCUUGCUUGUGUCAAACAGAAUAUGGCAGAAGUGAUACCAUGUCACUUCUGAGAUUAGGUUAUAAAAAGACUGUAGUUUUGGCCGGGUGCGGUGGCUCAAGCCUGUAAUCCCAGCACUUUGGGAGGCCGAGACGGGCGGAUCAUGAGGUCAGGAGAUCGAGACCAUCCUGGUUAACACGGUGAAACCCCGUCUCUACUAAAAAAUACAAAAAACUAGCCGGCCGAGGUGGCGGACGCCUGUAGUCCCAGCUACUCGGGAGGUGGAGGCAGGAGAAUGGCGUGAACCCGGGAGGCGGAGCUUGCAGUGAGCUGAGAUCCGGCCACUGCACUCCAGCCUGGGUGACAGCGCGAGACUUAGUCUCAAAGAAAAAAAAAAAAA
rnacentral:lncRNA from 1 species